AACGAACGCUGGCGGCAGGCCUAACACAUGCAAGUCGAACGCCCUAGCAAUAGGGAGUGGCAGACGGGUGAGUAACACGUGGGAACGUGCCCUUCGGUUCGGAAUAACUCAGGGAAACUUGAGCUAAUACCGGAUACGUGCGAGAGCAGAAAGAUUUAUCGCCGAAGGAUCGGCCCGCGUCCGAUUAGCUAGUUGGUGAGGUAAUGGCUCACCAAGGCGACGAUCGGUAGCUGGUCUGAGAGGAUGACCAGCCACACUGGGACUGAGACACGGCCCAGACUCCUACGGGAGGCAGCAGUGGGGAAUAUUGGACAAUGGGCGCAAGCCUGAUCCAGCCAUGCCGCGUGAGUGAUGAAGGCCCUAGGGUUGUAAAGCUCUUUCGCCAGGGACGAUAAUGACGGUACCUGGAUAAGAAGCCCCGGCUAACUUCGUGUCAGCAGCCGCGGUAA
rnacentral:rRNA from 1 species